rnacentral:rRNA from 1 species
UUAAGUGGCUGGAGACAAAUAAUCUCUUUAAUAACCUGAUUCAGCGAAACCAAUCCGCGGCAUUUAGUAGCGGUAAAGUUAGACCAAACCAUGAAACCAACAUAAACAUUAUUGCCCGGCGUACGGGGAAGGACGUCAAUAGUCACACAGUCCUUGACGGUAUAAUAACCACCAUCAUGGCGACCAUCCAAAGGAUAAACAUCAUAGGCAGUCGGGAGGAUAGU